AAAGUCUAGUGGUUAGGGCGUCCGCCUCGGAUGCGGAGGUCGCGGGUUCGAACCGCGGUAAAGU